rnacentral:rRNA from 1 species
UGGGGAAUAUUGGACAAUGGGCGAAAGCCUGAUCCAGCCAUGCCGCGUGUGUGAAGAAGGCCUUAGGGUUGUAAAGCACUUUAAGCGAGGAGGAAGGUUCGUCACCUAAUACGUGGCGGAAUUGACGUUACUCGCAGAAUAAGCACCGGCUAACUCUGUGCCAGCAGCCGCGGUAAUACAGAGGGUGCAAGCGUUAAUCGGAAUUACUGGGCGUAAAGCGCGCGUAGGCGGUUGUGUAAGUUGGAUGUGA